rnacentral:misc_RNA from 1 species
AACGCACAUUGCGCCCUCUGGUAUUCCGGGGGGCAUGCCUGUUCGAGCGUCAUUACAACCCUCAAGCUCUGCUUGGUAUUGGGCGUCACCACUUGUGGUGUGCCUUAAAAUCAGUGGCGGUGCCAUUCGGCUUCAAGCGUAGUAAUUCUUCUCGCUUUGGAGUCCGUGUGUGUGCUUGCCAGCAACCCCCAAUUUUUUUAAGGUUGACCUCGGAUCAGGUAGGGAUACCCGCUGAACUUAA